UUAUGCUUAGCUUUGUGUAGUCGAAAGCAAGGCUUCUGAAUGCUUUUUCAAAAAAUGCUUUGUCACACUUGGAAUCCGCAGGCAUCCAGGUAUCAUUCCUUGCAGAUUUCUUCUAGCAAGUAUGAGACUAAAACCUAGGGCGGUUUAAUAUGUAAUCUCAGGUGUGAACAUUUUGUCUUCUAUUUCUACCACUUAGUACCAAACAUUUAGGCAAAUGAGAUAGUUAUUAUGAAAAUUAAAUCCAUGGCUUGGUAUAUUUUAUAUGUAUAUAUGUUAUUCUAACACAUCUGACUCGCUUUGUCUAUGGAAAUGAUAUAUCAGUAUAGGAUGAGUUUAGACAGGACAAACAAAAUUCAAUUUAGAUUAUUUUAUAGUUCUUAUAUUUUUGAAAAUAUUAUCCCCUCAAUUUUCUUUCUUCUUUUGUAAAAUAACGUGUUUUUGAAAUAAUGAAUAACUCCCUUUUGGAUUUUAAGGGUCUGCUUUUUCUGAUGUAUGUACGGUCAGCCUAUUUAUUUGUUCCGUCCCCUUUGCAGUUUGGCAGAACCUUAUGAAGAAGCUUCCCAAACUGAACCACAGUGCUUUCACUCUAUUAGCAAAUUGUACUAAAGAUGCCAGCGUAAUGAUGAGU
rnacentral:lncRNA from 1 species